AGAGUUUGAUCCUGGCUCAGAGUGAACGCUGGCGGUAUGCUUAACACAUGCAAGUCGAACGAGAACGGUAUAUUCUUCGGAAUAUAUGUCAGCUAAGUGGCGCACGGGUGAGUAACACGUAGCUACCUGCCUCAUAGACCGGGAUAACAGUUGGAAACGACUGCUAAUACUGGAUAUACCCUACGGGGGAAAGAUUUUAUCGCUAUGAGAUGGGGCUGCGGUGUAUCAGUUAGUUGGUGAGGUAAAGGCUCACCAAGACUAUGACGCAUAACUGGUCUGAGAGGAUGGUCAGUCACACUGGAACUGAGACACGGUCCAGACUCCUACGGGAGGCAGCAGUGGGGAAUAUUGCACAAUGGAGGAAACUCUGAUGCAGCAAUACCGCGUGGAGGAAGAAGCAUUUCGGUGUGUAAACUCCUUUUAUAUUCGAAGAUAAUGACGGUAGAAUAUGAAUAAGCACCGGCUAACUCCGUGCCAGCAGCCGCGGUAAUACGGAGGGUGCAAGCGUUACUCGGAAUCACUGGGCGUAAAGAGCGCGUAGGCGGGUUGUUAAGUUGGAAGUGAAAGCCCACAGCUCAACUGUGGAACUGCUUCCAAAACUGGCAACCUAGAAUUUGGGAGAGGUAAGUGGAAUUCCUGGUGUAGGGGUGAAAUCCGUAGAGAUCAGGAGGAAUACCGAAAGCGAAGGCGACUUACUGGAACAAUAUUGACGCUGAUGCGCGA
rnacentral:rRNA from 1 species